AGUGAACGCUGGCGGUAGGCCUAACACAUGCAAGUCGAACGGCAGCACAGUAAGAGCUUGCUCUUACGGGUGGCGAGUGGCGGACGGGUGAGGAAUACAUCGGAAUCUACUUUUUCGGGGGGGAUAACGUAGGGAAACUUACGCUAAUACCGCAUACGACCUACGGGUGAAAGCAGGGGAUCUUCGGACCUUGCGCGAUUGAAUGAGCCGAUGUCGGAUUAGCUAGUUGGCGGGGUAAAGGCCCACCAAGGCGACGAUCCGUAGCUGGUCUGAGAGGAUGAUCAGCCACAUUGGAAGUGAGACACGGUCCAGACUCCUACGGGAGGCAGCAGUGGGGAAUAUUGGACAAUGGGCGCAAGCCUGAUCCAGCCAUACCGCGUGGGUGAAGAAGGCCUUCGGGUUGUAAAGCCCUUUUGUUGGGAAAGAAAAGCAGCAGGUUAAUACCCCGCUGUUCUGACGGUACCCAAAGAAUAAGCACCGGCUAACUUCGUG
rnacentral:rRNA from 1 species